rnacentral:rRNA from 1 species
AGAGUUUGAUCCUGGCUCAGGAUGAACGCUAGCUGGAGGCUUAAUACAUGCAAAGUCGAGCGGGAUUGAGGCAGCAAUGUCUCAUGAGAGCGGCGCACGGGUGAGUAACGCGUACACGACCUACCUUUGACUGGGGGAUAGCCCUGGGAAACUGGGAUUAAUACCGCAUAUAAUUCUGAUAGUAAAGUGAUCGGAAUGAAAGUUCAGGCGGUCAGAGAUGGGUGUGCGUCUGAUUAGCUAGUUGGUAGGGUAACGGCCUACCAAGGCGAUGAUCAGUAGGGGGCGUGAGAGCGUGGACCCCCACACGGGUACUGAGACACGGACCCGACUCCUACGGGAGGCAGCAGUAAGGAAUAUUGGACAAUGGCCGCAAGGCUGAUCCAGCCAUCCAGCGUGCAGGAAGAAGCCCUAAGGGUUGUAAACUGCUUUUAUCAGGGAAGAAACCCCUUUGUUCACAAAGGGCUGACGGUACCUGAAGAAUAAGCACCGGCUAACUCCGUGCCAGCAGCCGCGGUAAUACGGAGGGUGCGAGCGUUAUCCGGAAUUACUGGGUUUAAAG